rnacentral:rRNA from 1 species
UACGUAGGGUGCGAGCGUUGUCCGGAAUUAUUGGGCGUAAAGGGUGCGUAGGCGGUUUGGUAAGUCUUAUGUGAAAUCUACAGGCUCAACUUGUAGUCUGCAUGAGAAACUGCCGGGCUUGAGUGUGGGAGAGGUGAGUGGAAUUCCUGGUGUAGCGGUGAAAUGCGUAGAUAUCAGGAGGAACACCUGUGGCGAAAGCGGCUCGCUGGACCAUAACUGACGCUGAUGCACUAAAGCUAGGGGAGCAAACAGG